CUUUAUUGGAGAGUUUGAUCCUGGCUCAGGAUGAACGCUGGCGGCGUGCCUAAUACAUGCAAGUCGAGCGAAUGGAUUGAGAGCUUGCUCUUAUGAAGUUAGCGGCGGACGG
rnacentral:rRNA from 1 species